AUUGAACGCUGGCGGCAGGCCUAACACAUGCAAGUCGAGCGGAUGAAGGGAGCUUGCUCCUGGAUUCAGCGGCGGACGGGUGAGUAAUGCCUAGGAAUCUGCCUGGUAGUGGGGGAUAACGUCCGGAAACGGGCGCUAAUACCGCAUACGUCCUGAGGGAGAAAGUGGGGGAUCUUCGGACCUCACGCUCUCAGAUGAGCCUAGGUCGGAUUAGCUAGUUGGUGGGGUAAAGGCCUACCAAGGCGACGAUCCGUAACUGGUCUGAGAGGAUGAUCAGUCACACUGGAACUGAGACACGGUCCAGACUCCUACGGGAGGCAGCAGUGGGGAAUAUUGGACAAUGGGCGAAAGCCUGAUCCAGCCAUGCCGCGUGUGUGAAGAAGGUCUUCGGAUUGUAAAGCACUUUAAGUUGUGAGGAAGGGCAGUAAGUUAAUACCUUGCUGUUUUGACGUUACCAACAGAAUAAGCACCGGCUAACUUCGUG
rnacentral:rRNA from 1 species